rnacentral:rRNA from 1 species
AACGAACGCUGGCGGCAGGCUUAACACACGCAAGUCGAACGCCCCGCAAGGGGAGUGGCAGACGGGUGAGUAACGCGUGGGAAUCUACCCAGAUCUACGGAACAACAGUUGGAAACGACUGCUAAUACCGUAUACGCCCUACGGGGGAAAGAUUUAUCGGAUUUGGAUGAGCCCGCGUAAGAUUAGCUAGUUGGUGGGGUAAUGGCCUACCAAGGCGACGAUCUUUAGCUGGUCUGAGAGGAUGAUCAGCCACACUGGGACUGAGACACGGCCCAGACUCCUACGGGAGGCAGCAGUGGGGAAUAUUGGACAAUGGGCGCAAGCCUGAUCCAGCCAUGCCGCGUGAGUGAUGAAGGCCUUAGGGUUGUAAAGCUCUUUCAGUAGGGAAGAUAAUGACGGUACCUACAGAAGAAGCCCCGGCUAACUUCGUGCCAGCCGCCGCGGUAACAC